UACGGGGGGAGCAAGCGUUGUUCGGAUUUACUGGGCGUAAAGGGCGCGUAGGCGGUCGUGACAAGUCACUUGUGAAAUCUCCGGGCUUAACUCGGAACGGUCAAGUGAUACUGUCGGACUAGAGUACAGAAGGGGCAACUGGAAUUCUCGGUGUAGCGGUGAAAUGCGUAGAUAUCGGGAGGAACACCAGUGGCGAAGGCGACUACCUGGCCUGUUCUUGACGCUGAGGCGCGAAAGCUAGGGGAGCAAACGGG
rnacentral:rRNA from 1 species